rnacentral:rRNA from 1 species
UACAGGGGGGGCAAGCGUUGUUCGGAAUUACUGGGCGUAAAGGGCUCGUAGGUGGCCGACUAAGUCAGUCGUGAAAUCCCUCAGCUUAACUGGGGAACUGCGUCUGAUACUGGAUGGCUUGAGUUUGGGAGAGGGAUGCGGAAUUCCAGGUGUAGCGGUGAAAUGCGUAGAUAUCUGGAGGAACACCGGUGGCGAAGGCGGCAUCCUGGACCAACACUGACACUGAGGAGCGAAAGCCAGGGGAGCAAACGGG